rnacentral:rRNA from 1 species
UACGGAGGAUGCGAGCGUUAUCCGGAUUUAUUGGGUUUAAAGGGUGCGUAGGCGGCAGAUUAAGUUAGAGGUGAAAUUCCGAGGCUCAACCUUGGCACUGCCUCUGAUACUGGUUUGCUAGCGAGUAGAUGCUGUAGGCGGAAUGUGUGGUGUAGCGGUGAAAUGCAUAGAUAUCGCGCAGAACUCCGAUUGCGAAGGCAGCAUGCCGGCUCCACACUGACGCUGAGGCACGAAAGCGUGGGUAUCGAACAGG